AGACUUUAAGUCUCCUGAAGGAACGUUGAAGACGACGACGUUGAUAGGCCGGGUGUGUAAGCGCAGCGAUGCGUUGAGCUAACCGGUACUAAUGAACCGUGAGGCUUAACCUUA
rnacentral:rRNA from 1 species